rnacentral:misc_RNA from 1 species
CUCCUUAACGAAUUAUCUGAUUAGCAAGAAUUCACAACAAGUUGUUCUUUGGUAAGACGCUUAAAACGGGUCUAUAGCUCAGUUGGUUAGAGCACCGUGUUGAUAACGCGGGGGUCAUAAGUUCAAGUCUUAUUAGACCCACCAUUUUGGGGUUAUAGCUCAGUUGGUAGAGCGCCUGCCUUGCACGCAGGAGGUCAGGAGUUCGACUCUCCUUAACUCCACCACAUUAAACAUCAAUAAAACAUAACUAAACCUUCUGAUUAAGAAAGUUUAUUUAUGCUUUAUGCAUGACUAAUAUGAACUGACGAAGUUCAUAACACUAUUUAACAACAUGAUUAUGAGUCUGGGUAAUUUAUUUAUUCCAACAAAUAAAUUACCAUUCCAAUCAUACUCCACUCAUAAAGACGCAAGUUGAUAUGAGAGUGAUUGGAUAAAGUAAAGAGAACUGAAUCAAGCGUAAACAUAGGUAAAUCGUUACACAUUACCCUUAUGACACCAAGACUACUUGGGGUUGUAUGGUCAAGUAAUGAAGUGCACAUGGUGGAUGCCUUGGCAGUCAGAGGCGAUGAAAGACGUGAUAGCCUGCGAUA